UAAAAACUCAGCCUCAGAGCAGCAUUUGCUGGACCAGUUUUCAAAACAGUGCAAUGUAAUCACUUAGACCAUUGUUUUGGACUCCUUGGCUGAAGGGAGAGCAACAAGCAACCACACCUUCAUCUGGGAAAAUAAUUCAGAGUCCUUGAAGUUGAUGGCAAGAGAAAAAUCAAGACAAUUGAUGAUGACUUGGGAUGUGGUAGAUGACCUUGGAUUCUUCAAUGUUUAACCAAGCUCUAAGAGGUCCACGACACUUGCUUUAGCCAACUGAACUUCACAUA
rnacentral:lncRNA from 1 species